rnacentral:rRNA from 1 species
GGCAAGUUAAGGAACGUUGAGUCCAGUUAGUACUUGGAUCGGAGACGGCCUGGGAAUCCUAGAUCUUAAAGCUU